CUUGUUGGCAGCUGUUAGGACACAAUUGUCACCAAAUGCAGAUUCCCUCUUCUUUGCCAGGACUCAUUGACUACAUGUCUGGUCCUAUGGUAGAGAAGAAAUUGAAAUGCUUGUUGGCAUGUGUAGCAUGGUUGAUAUGGCUCGCAAGAUGUGCUAGAAUUUAUUCUCAUACCUCCUCCAAUCCACAGAACAUUUUACGACAAGCCUCUUUGAUCUCUCAGGUUACCAGUGCAUCAGCACUGGGGUUGACCCGAUCCCACUAAUCCCACAACACAACCUCCUAUGGUUGGCUGGUUACCCCCUCCGGCUGGCACUCUUAAAAUUAACUUUGAUGCAUCAGUGACAAAAGACAAAGCGGUGGUGGCUUAUGUUAUGAGAAAUUACAAGGGUGAGUUAAUCCUUGCAGGAGGCAAAUCCUUUAUUUCUUCUUCUGUGCCUUGGACUGAAUUCUUGGCUGCCUGGUUAGGUGUCAAAGCAGCAAUCUUGUAUUUAAAUGCAUCAAAAAUCUGGUUGGAAGAUUUAAAGAACUGGAGAAGGAGAUGCUCUUCAUUCAAUAUUUCCCAUACACACAGGGAAGCCAACCAACUGGCAGAUUACUUUGCCCAGCAGGCUAUGACCAUGGAUUUUCAGACUGAGAAUGUUGUUCAUCUUGAUAGUUAUGCCUUACAAAUAUUAAACACUGAUGCUCAUGGAAUUACUUAUCAAAAGGGUGGGAUAACGAUGUUUUAUCUAUGCACACUGCUAAUCUCUUCAUCUACAGGUUCUCCAUGACCACGAUUGGAUA